rnacentral:rRNA from 1 species
CGCGUAGGCGGGCUGGAAAGUCAGGGGUGAAAGCCCACGGCUCAACCGUGGAAGCGCCUUUGAUACUGCCAGUCUCGAGGGAGGUAGGGGCGUGCGGAACUUCCGGUGGAGCGGUGAAAUGCGUAGAUAUCGGAAGGAACACCGGUGGCGAAAGCGGCGCGCUGGACCUCUUCUGACGCUGAGGCGCGAAAGCCAGGGGAGGCAAACG